ACACACGCGUGUAGAGCUCUGCUAUGGUC
rnacentral:piRNA from 1 species